UGGGGAAUAUUGCACAAUGGGCGCAAGCCUGAUGCAGCAACGCCGCGUGAGGGAUGACGGCCUUCGGGUUGUAAACCUCUUUUAGCAGGGAAGAAGCGAAAGUGACGGUACCUGCAGAAAAAGCACCGGCUAACUACGUGCCAGCAGCCGCGGUAAUACGUAGGGUGCAAGCGUUGUCCGGAAAUUAUUGGGCGUAAAGAGCUCGUAGGCGGUCUGUCGCGUCUGCUGUGAAAUCCCGAGGCUCAACCUCGGGCCUGCAGUGGGUACGGGCAGACUAGAGUGCGGUAGGGGAGAAUGGAACUCCUGGUGUAGCGGUGGAAUGCGCAGAUAUCAGGAAGAACACCGAUGGCGAAGGCAGUUCUCUGGGCCGUAACUGACGCUGAGGAGCGAAAGCGUGGGGAGCGAACAGGAUUAGAUACCCUGGUAGUCCACGCCGUAAACGUUGGGCGCUAGAUGUGGGGACCAUUCCACGGUUUCCGUGUCGCAGCUAACGCAUUAAGCGCCCCGCCUGGGGAGUACGGCCGCAAGGCU
rnacentral:rRNA from 1 species